rnacentral:lncRNA from 1 species
GAGGGAAAUGCCAAAAGUUGGUGGGAAUUUUCUCCUCCCUCAUCUGAGAGAUGGAUUUGCUGGGGCUGUAAGAGGUUCUCCAGGGUCUGCCAGAGGAUCUCAAUGGAAAUCACUUUAAUUUGAGGAGAAUCCUUUCUGUUCUCAAAGCAUUAUUUUGAGCCAAUUCUUUCCUGCUGUGUGAUUUUUGCAAUAUGAAGACUUGACACAGAAUUGUCCUGUGGGUAAAGGCUUGGCCAGAGGCUGGAAGGAGAAGUAUUCAGAAACAGUUUUUGUUUGAUUUUGGAUGUUCCUCUAGGUUUUCCCUGUCACUUAACCUCCUGUCUGUGACAUGGGAAAUUCUUUUUCUUGCCUUAGUGGGCUUCUAUAAGAAUAUAUACUUAGAGAGUCAUGAGAACUGCAAACUGUGGGGCUUGGCCAGGAGCACAGAGGAGCACUCUGGAGCAGCCAGCAGAGAUGGAAGUGUUCCCUUCUGUGACCACGGUCCCAGUUUGCAGGCUGCCUUCACAAUCAGGUCUCCUGGUGCCAAUGGUGACCAGAAGUUUCUGCUGCUCCCGAGACAGCUGAUCCCGUUCUCCAGACACCACUGGGCUCCUGAAAGGACGCUCCACAUCUCUGCAGGGCAGGUGAACCUCUCACGAAAGGGCUGCAAAUUGGGCCAGUCCUGGAGGGAAGCAAUUCCAGGGAUAAAAGCAGGUACAGUAACUACUUCAAUGACCUCAUUUUGCCAGCCUUGGCUGGCUGUGCAGCCCUCAGGGCCACGAGCAAAC